AUGGAUAAUAAUCUUAUGGUUGUAUUUUGGAACGUCCGAAGACUUAAUUCUCGCGCCAAGAGAUCUGCAGUCCGCUCUGUAAUUGUGUCAGCCGCCCCUUGCAUCGUCUAUCCUCAAGAAACCAAGAUGGAGAACUUCUCCGCCUCCCUGGUCCUCGAAAUGGUAGGGGCUCAAUUCCUCGACUUCUACUACCUUCCUGCCGCGGGUACCCGGGGUGCUAUCCUGUUGGCGUGGUGCAGCUCCACCAUUAAGCUCUCUAGCCCCACCAUUGGCCAGCACCACGUCUCCGCGCUCGUCUUUCCCCUUGCGGGCGAUCGGCACUGGUGA
rnacentral:rRNA from 1 species